AAGACUGCAGCUGCUAUAACAAAUAACAGAUAACAAAAAUUUGACUGAAUUUAUCAUAUAUUCCUGGAACAGAGCUGUCAGAGGGCACGGGAUUCCGCAACUCUCUUUCGGUAAACAAGUUUGUACACACAAUGCAGUUGAUAAGAAAUAAUAAAGUUUUCGGAAUGCCCAAUGCACAUGCCGGUGUAUUCGAAAAAUAGAAAUCCCGACCACCGAGGCUAAAGAGCAGAAUACGGACGACAACAUCUAAUGAGCCAGAAGCAAAUGCAGAUUCAUUCAAUCGAACAAUCUGGUACGAUGGCAAAUAGGCCAGAGCUGGAACCAUGGGAACCAUGGUCACACGAAUGGCAGGAAUAAUUUUUAUCCUUCGUGGCCAGAAUGACACGGGUGCCCCCAAAACUAUCUGAAUGAUUUGGCAACGACGCAUCAGAAUGCGAUUGUGGACUAUUCGUCCUGGGAGGUCAGCACUGAGGGAAGCUCUUGGUCGCUGGAGAAGAUGCUGGACAUUCAGUAAAACGCUAAUCGUCGCAAGAAUCAAGGUGGAGGCGUAUGUAGAUAAGCUGAGCAACUUAAAGCAGUGGAAGUAUCGCGAGCUACUUUCAAAUAAUGCGACUUGCACUUAAUAUUGUAAGCAAACGGGUGAACACACGUCCUCAGAUGUGGUAUCGAGUAAACGCACACAAGCACACAGCAGACCCACGCACACAUACGCACGCAAAUAGAAGGGCAUUCACCGGGGUUGUUGCUUUAGAUAAAUUAGGGCUUGGAUAUACGCUACAUACAAUAUCCUAUAUGAAUUCGAUUUGAAAAGAAUAACAGAUAUAUACCCCAUCUGAAUGGGCAGCUGCUGGUUUGUUGUGGGAACAGGAGAGAAACAAACUGAACAGAAUGUCUUUAAAUACCUUUAAAGAUUUCAUUUAUUUCAUUUUAUCAAAGCAUAGCUAAUUGGCCUUAGACCAAAUCAAAAUAGAUGGAUCAGGAAACUGACCUAUCAAAGCCGAAGUCGAAAUAAAUUCAAGCUGGAUGACUCCGAAUUACUUAUCCAAUUUGAUUAAAUUAUAUGUGUUGGGCGAAUGAAGCCUGAUUGGCAUCUAGCCUGGUCCCAAAAGUCCAAAGCUCUUGGAAGUGUUUCCAGAAUGAGCACAAACAGUUUAUAGCAUACUAAAGGCACUGAAAGCAAAGCUCCUACUAAGUUACAAGAUUGACGAGACGAAGAAGGAAGCAUAUCCACACAUAAUUUGGAAUUACCUAUACUUUCCAUUCUAUAUAAAUAUAAAUUGUAUAUUUUCUCAUUAUUCAAACAGAGUCGUAAGUGCGAUCACUGUUUAAAUUUUUUGUUUAAAUAAUUUAAAAAUUAAAAAAAAAAAAUUUUUACCCAACAG